UAAUGUUUUUGUCGAUUUUUACUAAGUUCAAUACCGUUUUUUUCAUCAAAAUAUAACUUAAAAAAAUAAAAACAACUUAUUCAUAAUGUCAUGAGAGAGAAGUGAAAUGAUAUUUAGAAGAGUAAACGAAGAAAACUAUAAACGUUUUUUAUGCAAUUCUCCCUCAUAUCAGCCAUGACUAAAAGUCAUAAGUAAACAUUGAAUUUAUGUAUCAUAUAUGCUGUUAUGGAUGACAACAUAAGACCCAAUUCAAUCCUCGGAGAAACAAUUGAAGAGUAUUACGAAAACAUCGUAAAAACAGCUUUGGCGUUCGCUGUUAUCAGAAUGAAGCCAUCAUAUAUGAGUGGUAAACUUUACACUCAAGUCUUACA